AUCAGCUCCUGCUUCCUGACCUACCUGCCUGAGUUCCAGUCCUGACUUCCUUUGGUGAUGAACAGCAGCAUGGAAGUAAGAAGACUCGUGAAGUUGGAGAUGUGAUUGGAAAGCACACAUGCCAAGAGCCUGGACGUGGAUGAAGUGCCUUGCCAAGUUACAAAUGAGUGCAAGAGCUGCUAUCAAACAAAGUGUUGCCUGGAAGCCACUGGAACCACCUGUAAAAGGAACUUGAAGUCAGAGCAGUGAACUUGGAGAACUCACCGCUCAAAGCAGAAAUCUUGGUGAAGCAUAGAGAGAACCAUUGCAGUUUUCUAAGGACAUAUCAUGAAGGUUAUUGUUCUACAGUUUCUGUGAUCCUGAUGUUAAGUGGAAGCACAUUAUACUUAUCUCUCUUGCACAUGGCACCACUGUGUUAUCUCAAAAAUGUGUCAUAAGCUAUCUUUAUGCCAUUACCUUUCUCCUUCUACCUUGAUGUCUAUAUGAUGUACUUGUUUUAUAUUCAGCAUGGGGGGAGGUACACAACAUGGAGCAAGGAAACUGUGAGCUGUGGAGGGGAUGAAGGAAAUGUAAACAUUUUGGCAUCAGUGAAAAAAAUUUUU
rnacentral:lncRNA from 1 species